rnacentral:rRNA from 1 species
UCUUCGGACGGGCGGCGAGCGGCGGACGGCUGAGUAACGCGUGGGAAUCUACCCCAAAGUGAGGGAUAACGCACCGAAAGGUGUGCUAAUACCGCAUACGGUCUUCGGAUUAAAGUUUUAACGCUCUGGGAAGAGCCCGCGUACUAUUAGAUAGUUGGUGAGGUAAAGGCUCACCAAGUCGACGAUGGUUAACUGGUCUGAGAGGAUGAUCAGUCAGAUUGGAACUGAGACACGGUCCAAACUCCUACGGGAGGCAGCAG